AACGUAGGUGGCAAGCGUUGUCCGGAAUUACUGGGUGUAAAGGGAGCGCAGGCGGAUUUGCAAGUUGGAAGUGAAACUCAUGGGCUCAACCCAUGAACUGCUUUCAAAACUGCAGAUCUUGAGUGGUGUAGAGGUAGGCGGAAUUCCCGGUGUAGCGGUGGAAUGCGUAGAUAUCGGGAGGAACACCAGUGGCGAAGGCGGCCUACUGGGCACUAACUGACGCUGAGGCUCGAAAGCAUGGGUAGCAAACAGG
rnacentral:rRNA from 3 species